CUUGUCGCACAGCCGAGAAAAACAUUUGACCACGACUUGUUGCUAUGCAACCGCAAAGCCACCCGCCAGAUUCAGCACCACAAAAUGUCUGUAAGAAGAAUGCAUGCGCCCGAAAGACUCAUGUCAUCCAAGGCAGAAAGGUCUCAAGGAGGAAGAUCUGUGAGACGUCCAGCCUCUGUCCCCUCAAAGAAACCAUCCACGAUAGACCUACUUGCUAAAGAGGAGGAAUACAAAGCUGGAGGCAAAAACAGCCGAACUAGUAAGACAAGCGGAACAGGUUAUGUGACCAAAAUUAAGUAUUGUCAAAGUCAAUCUCUUUCCACCUUGAUGUUGACAUUGAGGAUGAGGAGGAGGAUUUCAGGAAUGUGAACAUGCUGGAAUCUUCAGUUAUGAAGCCCACUUCUAAGGUGCAGUAUUCAAUUCAGUUUGAUACGUAAAAUGUAACAUCUCAGAGACACAAAGGUAAUGUAAUCAGUUAGUAAAACUGGGGGAGAAUUUCAAUUGUAUUUCCUUGAUUCCGCACGUCCUCUUCAAACCCCAUUUCAAACCCCAUUGGAUGGGAAGGUCAGAGGGGCGGGACUUCUGACUUUCUCAUUCAAUGGGUUUUGAGGAGGCGAGGAAUUAAGGAAAUCCAAUUGAAAUUCUCCCUAAGUCAUAUUUCCAUUGCUCAGGUAAUGACAAAGAAAAGGGUCACAUCAAAAUCCAAUUCACAAAACAGACCUGGAUACCAGAGAAAAAGACAGUAAGAAUGUUAUCCUUGUCACAAAUGUUUUCACAAAUAUCUAUUGGAAACAUUGGAAGAUUGUGAAAGGUAAUGGCUUAAUGAGUGUCCAGCGUUGUUGAUAUUCAGUUCCUUAUGUUUGUUAUGACUUUUUCAACUUUUUGUUUGAGUUGUAUUUUGUUUAUUUGUUACUUUAUUUCAAAACAACAAAGACAUCUGCAGUUGAUGAUGUUGCGGUUCUUAAAGAUUGUGUGGAUUUUUCCUUGGCUAAAACAAUAUGUAGACAUUGAGGGGAAGCUGGAUGAUGGAGAUACUCAUGUCAAUCUUAUGGAAGACAUCAUGCGCUGUGUUGGUGAUGAGAUGGGAUCAGGUGAAUUCUGAUUUAAUUUUUACACUUUCUGUGGCUUUCUCACAAAUUUACAAUAUCACAUCUGGAGCACAAGAAUGGUUCUUUUCAAAAACAUUCAUUACAAAAAAAACAAGUUAUUUAUCAGAGUUCCAGAAUAUCAAUUGUUUCAGCCUUAGUUCAUUGAGCUUCUCGCAUAUCCUAAAAAUGAUAUAAUUCUUUAUGUAACUAUAGUAUACUUUUUUUGGUGUGUUGUGUUUCAGAUCCGUUUUCUCAAAGCAAAACUUUGUGUAAAGCAAGAAGAAUUUAACCGGCUGUCAAUAGAGUGCAACAUAAAAGUAAUGAUAGAAAUAUGAGAGAUGGAAAUUAGUUAUAUUUUUGAGUAAAAUGUAACAUUGAAACAAGAAUAAAACAUGUAUUUAUUCUAGGAUUAUGCAAACAGUAGUUUAAGCACCAACAUAAAGGAGGUCGAGGAGGCUCGAGCAGGACUACAGAAGACCACAACUUUCAGCAAACCCAGAUAGAGAAACACAGAGCUUUAGCGGAGGAGUCAAACAGAAAAGGUGAUGGGCUCCAGCAACAAGUAACUGCUCUACAGAAGGUUGGUCGUAGAUGGAAGGCCGGGUUGCCCAGCAGGGAUCUCUUGUCCUCUGAAGAAUGUCUCUGGUGGUAAGCUGGAUACGUUGUAGUAUCGUUGUGUGUGUUAGAUUGAAUACGUUGUUCGUCCUUUCCUAGCCCACGUUUACAGCGUCUGCUGCUAACUCAACGGCUAGGAGGUAUCACUUCUGGAGUGAAUAAGAGUUCAAAGUUCAUACCAAGCCAUACUUUUAAGCUCGUGCUAUAUUCUGGCUGGUAUAGUUGAAAUUCAUCCUUUCGGUGUGUCGAUCGUCACCUUCACAUUGAACACGAUGCUAAUUUCGUUAGGUUAUUAUCUGAGCCAUUUUAACCUAAGACCGUCGUCCUCACGUCCUCGGAACAGCAAGUAGAAUUUUUGUCAACAGGUUUAUAUAGUGGUGAAAGAAGGGCGUGUUUCUUAGUUUACAACCAAAGUCUGUUCACUUGGGUGAGUGAGCAGAGUUUCUCUAUGACAAACCGUUCUCUCAUUUAAGAAGCUAAAAUUACAUUUAAUCUUUUCACAAAUAGUUUCAUAUUUAAACAUUUAAAUUGCACAACAAUUCCAUGUGAAUCUGAUAACUACAAUGUAUCGACUUUCCAAGAUAGUUUAUGUCAUCCUGUCAUUAGUAGUAAUAGCUCAGACAACAACUGAUCUGAGAUCAUAUUCAUUAAGUACCAACGCAUGUUUUCAACUGGUUGGAUUACCGAAAUAUGGUUCCGUUUCCCACCUUUCAAUGUUACCAGACUCUAUGUUACAAAUUCUUUACAAGAGUCAACUCUAUAAAGUAGAGAAAAAGGUUUUAUGGGGGUCAUAAAACUCCCCCAACAGGCCAACGUCAUGACACCACACUACUGAACAGUAGUCUAGGUGCGACGAAACUAGGACCUGUUGGACCUUCCUUGUUGAUAGUGUUGUUAAGAAGGCAGAGCAACGCUUUAUUAUGGACAGACUUCUCCCCAUCUUAGCUACUGUUGUAUCAAUAUGUUGACCAUGACAGUUUACAAUCCAGGGUUACUCCAAGCAGUUUAGUCACCUCAAUCUGCUCAAUUUCCACAUUAUUCAUUACGAGACGUAGUUGAGGUUUAGUGAAUGAUUUGUCCCAAAUACAAUGCUUUUAGUUUUGGAAAUAUUUAGGUCUAUCUUAUUCCUUGCUACCCAUUCUGAAACUAACUGCAGCUCUUUAAGUGUUGCAGUCAUUUCAAUCACUUUAGUAGCUGACGAGUAUUGUGUUGAGCCUUACUCAAAGCCAGUGACAUGUUGUUAGUAAAGAUUGAACAAAAGCAUGGAACCUGGUCAGUUUGACAUGGAAAGAGCAGGUGUUCCUAAUGUUUUGUACACUUAGUGUAUGUCCACUCCCAAAGAAAAGAAGAAUGAAUGGUUGAUGGCUUCCUAUUGCUUAGUCACAACAAUUAUCUGUUUAAUUUAUAACUAUUCACAUUUCAUUUCUGAAAUAUAACGUUAAUAAGUACAUGUGAUGACAGUCAGUUUUUGUAGCUAUCUAACCAAAUAUUACCAUUAUCAUUACAGUGCUUUUGAAAAUGUGUGUUGGUGCGCUAUAAAAACGUUACACAAAAUGCUUUUACUGAUUUAGCUUGCUCCCGUGCGUGUUUAACAAAGGAAAUUGGGGGUUUGAAGAGAGCACAAAAACAGGCAGCAACCAAUCACAGUGCCAUAAAGGUAAGACUGAACAGAGGAAGUUGGAGGAAGUUGAGAGGUCUAAGACACAACUGACCAAGCUCAAGCAGACGAGCAAGAAAUUAAACCACCUAUCAGUGCAUUUAGUGAUCACAUCAAUCAUUUACACUAAAUUGUAUUGAUAGAUAGUGCUAUGCUAUUAGUAUAGUUUAGAUUUUGGUAUUCAAGUUUGGCUUCUGUCACUUGUUGUAUAACCCAGGUUAAAUAAACUUGUUUUAUGUCUAUCCUUUCCAAAAGGACACAGCAGACCAGGAGCAUAAAAAAAAUAGAAACAUUAAAAGCCAAAAACAAGAAGCUGGAAAAGCAAAAAGCUGAACUGAUAGUGGGUUGUAAAAAGCAGCUCAAACUGAUUGAUACACUGAAAAGGCAAAAAAUGCAUUUAGAAGCUGCCAAGAUGUUGUCAUUUACAGAAGAGGGAUUCAUGAAAGCUCUUGACUGGGGGAAAUCAUAAAGCAAUACUGAAAAAUGUAUGUAAUCCUGCUUGCCUUGAAUGUAU